GACGAACGCUGGCGGCGUGCCUAAUACAUGCAAGUAGGACGCAGUUGCGAACGGGUGAGUAACGCGUAGGUAACUGCCCAUUAGAGGGGGAUAACUAUUGGAAACGAUAGCUAAUACCGCAUACUAGUAGAUGGACCUGCGUUGUAUUAGCUAGUAGGUAGGGUAAUGGACUACCUAGGCGACGAUACAUAGCAGACCCGAGAGGGUGAACGGCCACACGGGGACUGGGUAACGGCCCAGGCUCCUACGGGAGGCAUCAGUAGGGAAUCGUCGGCAAUGGGGGGAACCCUGACCGGGCAACGCCGCGUGAGUGAAGAAGGUUUUCGGUUCGUAAAGCUCUUUUGUUAAGGAAGCGGUACUUAACCAGAAAGGGACGGCUAACUACGUGCCAGCAGCCGCGGUAAUAC
rnacentral:rRNA from 1 species